CAACAGAAGCGGUAGAGUGUGGUAGUGCGAGGACAGGCACUCACUUACACGCAGUCUACUUGCUUCUCAUUUUUCUUCGUCAGACAUAGGAACUUUCCGAAGCGACUUUGUAGAAGAACAAAAUAAACUAAGCUCUAUAUGGGAAACCUUUUUAUCUAAUGGUAUGAAAAAUAAUGACUUUCUUCCAAAGAAAGAGAAACAAAGACUUUACAUAAUAGAAGUUCAAUGAUAAUUUCUUUUACCCUUUCAAGCAACAAAUAUUUUGAAUAGAGGAAACAAGUAGAUCCUAACUCUCAAAAAAAAAAAAAAACAAAAAAAAACAUACGGAGGUGAAAAAAUAAGAGAAAGAUUAACAAAACAAG